rnacentral:rRNA from 1 species
AGAGUUUGAUCCUGGCUCAGGACGAACGCUGGCGGUGUGCUUCACACAUGCAAGUCGAGUGAAUGAAGUAGGUAGCUUGCUACUUAUGGAUUUAGCGGCGGACGGGUGAGUAAUAUAUAGGAAUCUGCCUUAGAGCGGGGAACAACAGACCGAAAGGUUUGCUAAUGCCCCAUAGGUAUGCAGUCUUCGGAUUGUAUAUUAAAGGAGUAAUCCACUCUAAGAUGAGCCUGUAUCCGAUUAGCUAGUUGGCGGGGUAAAGGCCCACCAAGGCUACGAUCGGUAGUUGGUCUGAGAGGAUGAUCAGCCACAAUGGGAUUGAGACACGGCCCAUACUCCUACGGGAGGCAGCAGUGGGGAAUUUUACACAAUGGGGGAAACCCUGAUGUAGCGACACCGCGUGAACGAAGAAGCCUUUUGGGGUGUAAAGUUCUGUCGGCUGGAACGAAAAAAAUGACGGUACCAGCAAAGGAAGCAUCGGCUAACUACGUGCCAGCAGCCGCGGUAAGACGUAGGAUGCAAGCGUUGUCCGGAUUUAUUGGGCGUAAAGAGUUCGUAGGCGGUUAUUUAAGUCUGAUGUUAAAUACUGUGGCCCAACCACAGAACUGCAUUGGAUACUGGAUGACUUGAGUGCGGUAGAGGCAAGUGGAAUUCCCAGUGUAGCGGUGAAAUGCGUAGA